CGCCAUCCUGACCGCCCCUAGGGAUCUUUCCAGGACACCAUCCGGAUCCUCAACACCCUGCAGACCAAUGCCAGCGACCUGGAGCAGGUGAAGCGGGAGCGCAGUGACCCCCAGACCCAGCUGGAAGCCAUGCAGGGCUUUUUGGAGCGGACCGGGAUGAAGGUCGAGGACCUGGAUCGACUGAACAUCAUCCAUGUCACGGGGAUGAAGGGCAAGGGCUCAGUGUGCGCCUUCACUGAGUGCAUCCUCC